GUCCUGGUGGUCCUCUCUUCGGUGGCUCAUCACCUGGCUGUCCUGGUUUGUGCUCUGGUGGCGGCUUCUCAAACCCUGGAUCCUCAGUGUGCUCUUGGGGUGGCUUUUGUCCCUUCGGGGGCUCAUUGUGCCCUUGUGGUGGCUUUUGUCCCUUUGGAGGCUGAUUGUGCUCUUGAGGUGGCUUUUGUCCCUCGGGAAUUUUGCCUUCCACCUCUAGCAAGUGGUGUUCAUUGUGCGGUGGCUUGUGCUUGGGUGGAGGCCUCUCUCCUUUGCCCUUGAGGGGCUCGUUAUGUUGGGUUGGGGGCUUCUUCUCUGGGAAUGGGAAAGGCUCUUCCUUGUUAAGUGGGGUUGGAGUCUUGUGAUUUGGUGGGUUGUGGGAAGGAGGCUUUUGAAUUGGGGGUUUCAGGGCAAGAGAAGGAGUUGAAGUGGUGAAAACCACCACUCCGACAAGAAAAACUAGCAAGUAAUUGGGAGACAUCUUUAGACUCUUAUGUUCUAGGAUGGUUGGAAACUAGUAGAAGUGAGUGGCUUUUUAUAGUGAUGGGGCAGCACUGUGGUCAUGGCACAUGUCACCAUGCACUUGGAUUUUUUUUUAAUGAAAUGUGUGGACUCG
rnacentral:lncRNA from 1 species